GACGAACGCUGGCGGCGUGCUUAACACAUGCAAGUCGAACGGUAAGGCCCUUCGGGGUACACGAGUGGCGAACGGGUGAGUAACACGUGGGUGAUCUGCCCUGCACUUCGGGAUAAGCCUGGGAAACUGGGUCUAAUACCGGAUAGGACCACUGCCUGCAUGGGUGGUGGUGGAAAGCUUUUGCGGUGUGGGAUGGGCCCGCGGCCUAUCAGCUUGUUGGUGGGGUGAUGGCCUACCAAGGCGACGACGGGUAGCCGGCCUGAGAGGGUGACCGGCCAGCCUGGGACUGAGAUACGGGCCAGACUCCUACGGGAGGCAGCAGUGGGGAAUAUUGCACAAUGGGCGCAAGCCUGAUGCAGCGACGCCGCGUGAGGGAUGACGGCCUUCGGGUUGUAAACCUCUUUCAGCACCGACGAAGCGCAAGUGACGGUAGGUGCAGAAGAAGGACCGGCCAACUACGUGCCAGCAGCCGCGGUAA
rnacentral:rRNA from 1 species